ACGAACGCUGGCGGCGUGCUUAACACAUGCAAGUCGAACGGAAAGGCCCUGCUUUUGUGGGGUGCUCGAGUGGCGAACGGGUGAGUAACACGUGAGUAACCUGCCCUUGACUUUGGGAUAACUUCAGGAAACUGGGGCUAAUACCGGAUAGGAGCUCCUGCUGCAUGGUGGGGGUUGGAAUGUUUCGGCGGUUGGGGAUGGACUCGCGGCUUAUCAGCUUGUUGGUGGGGUAGUGGCUUACCAAGGCUUUGACGGGUAGCCGGCCUGAGAGGGUGACCGGCCACAUUGGGACUGAGAUACGGCCCAGACUCCUACGGGAGGCAGCAGUGGGGAAUAUUGCACAAUGGGCGGAAGCCUGAUGCAGCAACGCCGCGUGCGGGAUGACGGCCUUCGGGUUGUAAACCGCUUUCGCCUGUGACGAAGCGUGAGUGACGGUAAUGGGUAAAGAAGCACCGGCUAACUAAGUG
rnacentral:rRNA from 1 species